GUAGUGCUCCUGCUUCCUGGCCGAGGGCGGGCGAGCGGAGCCUGCUUUCGCAGCGAUCGCGAGCGUGUGGCGAUUGCUUCUGUCUGUUAUUUAGAUAUGGAAGCUGAGGGGAUGCACAGAGGCAGCCAGAACCUAGGUCAGGGUCUCGCUCGGUGCUGACCGCCCCCGGGGUCGAGUAGGCGAUGGGGGAGCCCGGCUUCUUCGUCACAGGAGACCGCGCCGGUGGCCGGAGCUGGUGCCUGCGGCGGGUGGGGAUGAGCGCCGGGUGGCUGCUGCUGGAAGAUGGGUGCGAGGUGACUGUAGGACGAGGAUUUGGUGUCACAUACCAACUGGUAUCAAAAAUCUGCCCCCUGAUGAUUUCUCGAAACCACUGUGUUUUGAAGCAGAAUCCUGAGGGCCAAUGGACAAUUAUGGACAACAAGAGUUUUCCUUCUGAAAAGGCAGAAGAUUUUACAGCAGCAGGAGAGAGAUUCCUUUAAGAAGACGAAAAUCAUGAAGCUUAUUUCUUCUUUCUUUCACUUUCCCCAGAGUCUAAAUGGUGUUUGGCUGAACAGAGCGCGUCUGGAACCUUUAAGGGUCUAUUCCAUUCAUCAGGGAGACUACAUCCAACUUGGAGUGCCUCUGGAAAAUAAGGAGAAUGCGGAGUAUGAAUAUGAAGUUACUGAAGAAGACUGGGAGACAAUAUAUCCUUGUCUUUCCCCAAAGAAUGACCAAAUGAUAGAAAAAAAUAAGGAAUUGAGAACUAAAAGGAAAUUCAGUUUGGAUGAAUUAGCAGGUCCUGGAGCUGAAGGCCCCUCAAAUUUGAAAUCCAAAAUAAAUAAAGUGUCUUGUGAAUCUGGUCAGCCAGUGAAAUCACAGGGGAAAGGUGAAGUGGCCAGUACACCCUCUGACAAUUUGGAUCCUAAGUUGACUGCCCUUGAGCCAAGUAAGACCACAGGGGCUCCCAUUUACCCUGGCUUCCCCAAAGUCACAGAGGUUCAUCAUGAGCAGAAAGCCUCAAACUCUUCAGCAUCUCAGAGAAGCUUACAGAUGUUUAAGGUGACCAUGUCCAGGAUUCUGAGGCUCAAAAUACAGAUGCAGGAAAAACAUGAAGCCGUUAUGAAUGUGAAAAAGCAGACCCAAAAGGGGAACUCAAAGAAAGUUGUGCAAAUGGAGCAGGAACUUCAGGACUUACAGUCCCAGCUGUGUGCAGAGCAGGCUCAGCAGCAGGCAAGAGUGGAGCAACUAGAGAAGACUUUCCAGGAAGAGGAACAGCAUCUUCAGGGUUUGGAGAUAGCCCAAGGAGAAAAGGACCUGAAGCAACAGCUGGCCCAGGCUCUGCAGGAGCAUUGGGCUCUAAUGGAAGAGCUAAAUCGCAGCAAGAAGGACUUUGAAGCAAUCAUUCAAGCCAAGAACAAAGAAUUAGAGCAGACCAAGGAAGAGAAGGAGAAGAUGCAAGCACAGAAGGAAGAAGUUCUUAGCCACAUGAAUGAUGUGCUAGAGAAUGAGCUCCAAUGUAUUAUUUGUUCAGAAUACUUCAUUGAGGCUGUCACCUUGAACUGUGCCCACAGUUUCUGCUCCUACUGUAUCAAUGAAUGGAUGAAGCGGAAGAUAGAAUGCCCCAUUUGUCGGAAGGACAUUAAGUCCAAAACGUACUCUUUGGUUCUGGACAAUUGCAUUAAUAAGAUGGUAAAUAAUCUGAGCUCAGAAGUGAAAGAACGACGAAUUGUUCUCAUUAGGGAACGAAAAGCAAAGAGAUUGUUCUGAAGACCGUGCUCUAAGGGCAUUUGAAAGACUGCCAGGUAGUGCGAGCCUGAGAUGGUCUGGAGGAUUCUCUCUAGCCGUGACUCCGCUGCUCUGAAGGUCAACUGAGAAGUCUUGUGGGACAGAGACUUGAGUUAGGAAGCCCUCAGUCACUUGCCUUCCACGGUGGCCAGCCCUGCUGCCAUCAUUGGCUGAAGCACCACCAGGAUUCACGGCACCCAACUGCUUCAGGGUACUUCGUAGACUCUGCCUCACUACAUGUCGAAAGAGUUAUUUGAGUUCUCUUCUGUUUUUUUUUAAUUUGUUGUUGUUGUUACUGUUUUGAUACCUCGGAAACACCUCCGUUGACAGUUGUUUUGGAUAGGUUGGGUGUACCCCAUGGCUGCCUCUGAAGGCAGUGUCUAUUUUGAGAGGAUGGCUUACCUCUUCUUUGUGAAAAUACUAUCUCAUUUCCUGGAAAUAAAAUGUAAAACCUGUCAGUUGCUCAGCUGGGCUUUGGUGUAUUUACCUUCCUUCCCUUCCUGCUCCCAGACAGUCUCACAAGUAAACACCAGCAGCUCAUAGAUUACAACCAAGAAAGUGACUGUAUCAGAUGAUAGACUUCAAGUGAAUGUCAGCCUAAGAGGCCAAGCUGCAGAUCGUGGCAACAGAUGAGCUCUGUUAACCUCCUGACUGUCGUGUUUCCUUUUUAUUACAGAGGUGGGUCACUGUUUACCUUGUUUCAGGGGUGGGAGAAACUCCUUUCCUUCAGCUGGCAUUUGAAUGUUUCCAAAUCUAUUUUAUCUGACGUCAUGAACACACAGGCAAUGAUUUUAUGACAACUUGAUGUGCUUUUUUCUUUAUUUUUCUUUUACAUUAGAAGUUUUCUCUCUUUUCUCCACCUCUCCUUUAUUUUUAAUUUUAAUUUUAAUUUUUGAAACAAGAUCUGACUCUGUUGCCCAAGCUGGAGUACAGUAGUGCAAUCUCAGCUCACUGCAACCUCCACCUCCCAGACUCAAGCCAUCCUCCCACCUCAACCUCCCAAGUAGCUGGGACUACAGGCAUAUGCCAUCACACCCAGCUAAUUUUUGUUUUUCUGUAGAGACAGGGUUUCACCAUGUUGGCCAGGCUGGUCUCAAAUUCCUGACCUUAAGUGAUCCACCUGCCUAGGCCUCUAAAAUGCUGGGAUUACAGGCGUGAGCCACCACGCCCAGCCUAUACCCCAUGUAUUUUCAUAAAGGGUUGGAAACUAUUGAUUGCCAACUUUUUAAGGAUGGUAGGGAUUUUUUCUUUGUUGAAUAUACUGUGAAUUUUGGGAUUCUGGAGUCCUUAGUCUUCAUUUCCAUUCUUCUGCCCAUGAUUACUGAUCAAAAUACUGGUAGAGUCAUGGAGGAAGUAAGUUAAAUGUGGAAAAAAUGCUUUAAAAGUACUUACUAUAACCACAUCAUAAGAAUUCUGGAAAAAUAGAGAACAAAAGGAAAAGAUUGUUACCACCUUGAUUUAAUAACUUCUUGUUUCCCCAUACAUGUGUUUUGUUUAUAGAUUGCAUGGGUAUAUGUCAAUUUUUAUAUGUUCUGUGUUUAGUUUACAUAUUGUAAUUCAUUUUUAAGAGAGUACAGACAUACACUUUUUGAGUAGGCAAUAUGUUCACAUAGUUUGAAAUUAAAGGUACAAAAUGGCGUAGAAUGAAAUGCCUCUCACCCUUUCCCCACAGCGACUACUUCCCACUCAGAGGCAACAAGUAUUACAGUUGCUUGUAUAUUCUUCCAGAGAUCUCUGUCUAUACAAGCAAAAACACAUGUGGUCUUUUUCCUUGCUUUGCACAAAUGGUAAACUGUACGCUAUUCUGAACCUUGCUUUUUUCAGAUAUAUGUUGGCAACAGUUCCAUGUCAGUACAUAGUUUCCUUUCUUUAUUACAGCUGCCUGUUUUUUCAUUGUGUAUUUGCACCAUCAUUUACUUUUCUGGCUUACUUUUGAUAGAAAUCUAGGUUGGUUCAAACCUUUUUACUCUUAAAACAAUGCUGCAGUUAACACCCUUGUACAUAUAUCUUUAGAGAGAAGAUAUUUUAAAAAGAAAUACCUUUUUAAAAAUUAUUUUAUUAUUUUUUAAUAGAGACUAUGUUGCCUAGGCUGGUCUUGAAAUUCUGGGCUAAAGCAAUCCUACCACCUUGGCCUCCCAAAGUGCUGAGAUUACAGGCAUGAGCCAUUGCACCUGGCCAAGAAGAGACAUCUUGACUUGAGCCUGAAGACUAUGUACAGAGACUGACCUCACAGACUGACCAUUCCAUCCCACAGCUGCUGGACAUAGAGUGAUUUGCAGCCCCUCCUUUCAGAGUACCACAUCCCUCUCAAGUGUUCCACAACAUCUAGGAAAGUGAGCUCUUAAAGACAGACUAAAAAGAGUAAUAAAUCAAUACAACAACAUUAAAAGCCAGACUAGCGGAGUUUGAAUCUUGGCCCUGCUGUUAGUAACUGUGUGAGCCUUGGGCAAGUUACUCAGCCUCCUUGUGUCUUGGUUUUGGUUUCUUCAUCUCUAAGUAAUUAUAUCUGUCAUUAUUGCCCUGAUCACAAACAAAAGCCUGAAUGUACUAUGUUUAAAAGACAAACCAAAAAUUAACCCAAACUUGCAUUAUUUGUCUGAGCUACAGAAUGUUCUUUCCUUGGAGAGAUAUCUGAUAUUAAACAUCAUCUGCAUUUUACUUGCCUAGAAAAUACACGGUAACUUUUCUGCCUUGCAGCAUCAAACUAUAGUACAGCUGAGCCCCAGUGCUGUGCAGUCUGACUCUAAUUAAAGGCACCUUCUUUACAGCAGGGCUCUGGGGAACUGGAAAAGGGGGUUUGUUUCAUUAUCUGGUUUUAUUAAGCAGAUGAAUGCAGCCAGCUAUAUGAAGCACUUUGCAGUGAAUGGCAGGUGUCCCAUAUCUGGUUAUGUUAACCUAGAAAGGGCUCACUCUACCUCUAGGCAUGUUUCAUCCCAACAAUCAGACUGUGCCAAAGCAGGGGACUUUGUCCUUUGUGGAUUGCAUAGCUGGAUACCCAUCAUCUGUUUCUCUGAUUGGAAGCUGCUGUUGUACAGAAAGACCUGCAUUUCCCCCUUGUCUCCAGUUCUCUCACUACUUUUUCCUCCUCUGUGAGUGACCAUCCAGGCAGUCACCAUAACUGCUGGAGUGUCUGGGAUUGGUAGCUCUCUCCAACUGCCUGCUUGCUCUUUACAGCCUCUCUCUGUGACUGGAAUCUCUCCACCUCAUCGUAUCUAAGGAUAACCCAGAAACAUGGGGUGUCCUAGGUAUGUUUAUCUCGACACUGAACCCCCUAGGCUUCUGAUGAAUCCAGUGAUUAGCUAAAUUUGACAUAGAAAGUAAGAAGGAAUGUCUACUUUGUAUUGUGGUCCUAAUCUAAGAUCAGGAGAAUCCUGGAAUUGUUAUCUGUCUCUUGCUCUGAGAUACAGACUUGUUCAUAGGUGUGGGGCCUGAUUGGAACAGGAUCUGCCAUUGGUCACAAUAGGUCAAGGGCUUGUUCUGAACCCUAGUUAGCUUCAUUCAGAGAAAGAAACUUCCUACCUGGUCAGCUUUUUCAGCUUCUCCAACAAAUGGGAGUUGAGGCAGUAGGAGUGUGGGGUUCUUGGGAAGACGAUGGGGCCUUGUAUUAAGGAGAAAUAAUGAACUAUCUUCUUGAUUCUUCCAUUGAGAAAAGCAUAUGAAUCCUAGGAAAGGGCUCAGCCUGUGAUAGGCAUUCAAUAAAUACUCCAAUGCUGUCAUUCCUUUGUCUACAGCAUCCCCAAACAAUGUACCAGUGAUGGGCUACCUGAGCUCAUCUAGUCGCCAAGCAGUAUCUCCUGCUUGCUGCUGCUUUACUACAUUCCAGAUGCCCACCUCAUCCAAUUUCCAGAGCCACUAUCUCUGCUGUCCACUUUCCUUCAGGCUCUGUGAAUACUUCAACCUGCUGUGAUUUGGGGCCGUUUGUACUCUGCAUGUAUUCAAUAAAUUCAAUUCAGCAAUA